AUGGAUCAGGAGUUGAUCGAGCACCUUGAGGCCAAAGUGAGUGCUAACAACGCGAGAUCUCACCCUCUGAUUGAUUUGUUCAUACCAACCAUCGACAAUGAGCACGACAUAUGCUACACCCAUCCUGAGAAACUUCCAGGUAUCACACUGAGUGGCCUAAGCAAGCAUUUCUUUCAGUGCAAUCUCAGGGCGUUCAAAAGGGGCGCGUGGACAAAGAUACAGUCGGAGUGUGGCAUGCACGCGAUGUGGCACAAGACCGGCAGACAUGCAGCAAAAAGGUUCUGGUGCUGCACACCAACAAGAACUUCGACCAUUCCCGCAAAAAAAGAACUUCGACCAGCAGAGGACCAACUGGGUGAUGCACCAAUACCACCUCGGGGACCUGGAGCAAGAGAAGGAGCGGGAGCUAGUCCUCUGCAAGAUUUUCUACCAGACGAACACUAG
rnacentral:rRNA from 1 species